GCUAGCACGAUCGUUUGUUGCACUAACCGUCUUGGUUCAAACUAUACCUCCUACGGAAGCCACCUUCGAUUUGAUGUUUGUGUUUAAGAUUGCAUGGGACUUUUUCUUGAGUUUGAUGGGUGAGGUCUCCAUUGGAAACUCGGAUUUUCAAGACACUUCAGCAAAUUUGGAAUUGUUGGAAGCUAGUGAAAGAUUACCUCCUCUGCAAGAAUCGGAAGCACCAGCAUCGGAGUUAUCCGGAUUGUUGAAGCUGAUGUUUAAACUUAGAGACGAAUAAAGAACGGAAACAACGUUCAAAAACUGGUGAAUUACAAAAUACCCAAAGUUUCACAAUUCACAAAAAUAGCGAGAUACCCAAAUAAUCACACAAUCAACCACUGAAGGCACAUCGUCCGUACAACUUGUGCUACUCAUAUUCCAGACACUAUCAUCCAGGGUCAACCGGUAGCCCCCAUGGAACUCACUCGAGUGGCCAACGCAACCGAAGGCAGCAUUCAACUUGUCAACUGUCUGCGCAUCAUCACCACCACGUUGUCGUCGUCGUCCGAUGUCCGAGAGAUGCAAUUUAUCGACACCCAAUCCACGACGCGUUUAGUACACGAGUAGUUUAGGGUAACUGGUGCAAUGUUUGGUGUGUCAGCUGAGG